GUAGCUAUCGGCCUCUGUCUUUCUCUGGGGAAGGUUCUGGAAGGAGCUGCUGGGGUAGCGGCGGGGAGUCGGCUCCUGUAUCCGCCCCACAUGGUCCGGAUGGCGGUGAUCUCCCGGGAAAGGCCCCGCCCGGCUCAAUCCCCCUCCCCCUUAUUCCCCGGGACCCUCCCCGGGCCCAGAGGGCUCCCGUUUGAACUUUUCUCUCUUUGAAAUCCCGUUUUCAGAUCCCGGGUGGAAAUGUGGAGCUGGCGGUGCCGGGGCUCCGGCUGAAGGAUGACCCGAGUCUGGAGCGAGUGGGCGAUAAGACUAGAUCCUGUGAGAAGCACACCAUGAAUCACUACACCUGGUGUGCUCAACUGAAUUAUGAAAAUGCAAGAAGAAAUACAAGCCAGCAAUGUGCACAAAACUGUUGUCUGCACUACCUUGUUAUGGAUCGCUUGUGAACCCAUGAAACCAUAUCAAGUGCUGCAGGUGGUGAACAUAUUAACUUUGCUUUCAAGACCAAGUUUGACAUUUUCAAUAGUGUGCUUCCUUUUCUCCUGGCAAGUCUGUUUUUAAAAAAUAAAGCAAUGGCAAGCUCCAAUGUAUUUUCAUCAGAGACCACUAUAUUGGACAUGAGUGAAUUGGGCUGUCGAGUUUUUGAGAACACCUCCAUGGAAAGGCUGGAAUGAAUUGCAACAUAUUUCAAAUCUGACCUGGUUCCCCAGCAGAAUAUUUGAAAAAUGUGAAGUGCCUCUUAAGACUUGUAAAUAUGCAGUAAUUACUUGGAGGUUAUGUAGAAUAUAUUCAAAUAAAGAUAUUUAUUCAAAUUA